GGCAUCUACUUCAGUUGUUAUUCAACAAGUCAUUGUGACACCUGAGAGAAGCGCUGCCGUCAGGAAGGAAGUCAUCAAAAACAAGAUCCGCGCCAUCGGCAAAAUGGCUCGAGUCUUCUCGGUUCUAAGAGAAGAGAGCGAGAGCGUGCUGCAGCUGAAGGGUCUCACACCCACGGGAGCGCUGCCUCUGGGAGCUCUCAGUGGAGGCGCCGUGUCUCUGA